rnacentral:rRNA from 1 species
AGUGAACGCUGGCGGCGUGCUUAACACAUGCAAGUCGAACGAGAACGGAAUAUAGCUUGCUAUAUUUGUCAGCUAAGUGGCGCACGGGUGAGUAAUGUAUAGAUAACCUGCCCUUAAGAAAGGAAUAACAGUUAGAAACGACUGCUAAUGCCCUAUAUGCCUUUAAUACAUAAGUAUGCAAGGGAAACGCUUUAGUGCUUAAGGAUGGGUCUGUAUGGUAUCAGCUUGUUGGUGAGGUAAUGGCUCACCAAGGCUAUGACGCCUAACUGGUUUGAGAGGAUGAUCAGUCACACUGGAACUGAGACACGGUCCAGACUCCUACGGGAGGCGGCAGUGGGGAAUAUUGCACAAUGGACGAAAGUCUGAUGCAGCAACGCCGCGUGGAGGAUGACACAUUUCGGUGCGUAAACUCCUUUUAUAUAGGAAGAUAAUGACGGUACUAUAUGAAUAAGCACCGGCUAACUCCGUGCCAGCCGCCGCAGUAA